GGGGGUGUACUGGUUUCGACGGGGAUCGAUGAAGAGAAGGAAGCCAUCCGCAGUUUACGGGGCUGCGUCAACAAACUGUAAAACAAUUUAAACGCAGAAGAUAAUUUAGCGUUCGCUGCCUAACGGCAGCUGUCUUGCCCUGACCACCCGCUGUCAGGGGCCAAGGCAUCGACGAUGCGGGGACCUAUCGUUUCAAAGCUUUGAGAUUCGAUAAGAUUUAAUGAAGCUACUGAAGGCCGGAGCCUGUCGUUGGGCGCCGGUUGGAGGGAAUGUCAAAACAGCGACUGUGAUGGGAGAUGCUUUCUUGGAUGGGUUUUCGGACAGGGGUUCGAUUCGCAG
rnacentral:tmRNA from 1 species